CGGAGGAUCCAAGCGUUAUCCGGAAUUACUGGGCGUAAAGAGUUGCGUAGGUGGCAGAGUAAGUUGGUAGUGAAAGCGUACGGCUCAACCGUAUACACAUUACUAAAACUGCUCAGCUAGAGGACAAGAGAGGUUAUUGGAAUUCCUAGUGUAGGAGUGAAAUCCGUAGAUAUUAGGAGGAACACCGAUGGCGUAGGCAGAUAACUGGCUUGUUCCUGACACUAAGGCACGAAAGCGUGGGGAGCGAACGGGAUUAGAUACCCCGGUAGUCCACGCCGUAAACGAUGGAUGCUAGCUGUAUUCGGUAUCGACCCCGGAUGUAGCGAAGCUAACGCGUUAAGCAUCCCGCCUGUGGAGUACGGUCGCAAGACUA
rnacentral:rRNA from 1 species